GUGUGCUCGGUGUGCGGCAAGAUGGGUUUCCGACGAACGUACGAUCUCCAACGACAUAUGCUCUCUCAUGCAGCAGUGCGACCCUUCCAGUGCCCUCAUUGUCCUUACAGAGCAGCCCUCAAGUACAACCUUGAUGCUCACAUUCGACUCAAACAUCCAGAAGAAGCCCAGUCUGUACAAAGGAAUAGAGAUCCAGGAUUUACCAGUGGAAAUUUGACAGGAUCUGUAGCUCAAGGAGCAUUACAACAACAAUCCUGUGAAACGUCUGAUAAUGGAAACAGCUUUAUUCAAGUUGAAUGAGCUGAUGGAAAAUCUCAAUUUUAUGAAGAAUAUAUACCAUGUUUACAAGGAACGGAGUUGGGCAAGCGAGCUGCCAUGACAAGUAUCGGAGGAGGAGGUGGCAGCGCACUCAGGACAUCUUUCGUCUGUGCUGUUUGUGAAAAGAUCUUCAAUCACAAGGGCAACUUCAUGAAGCACUAUAGAACACAUACUGGAGAGAAGCCAUUCCAGUGCCCUAAAUGCCCCUAUAAAGCUACACAAAAAGCUCAUUUAACUACCCACAUGUUGGGAAGACAUGGAGAACUCCUUCAUGGCUAGUUUGCAAGUACAAGGGUUGGUCACCACACUAAUCACAAAGCCAGAUGUAAAGAAAUCUGGCGAAGAUACUCCUGCCUGUCAGUGGCAGUAUGCAAGUCAGUAUUAUAUGUAACUUAUUUCACCAUUUGUAUCAGUGUUCUUUUUUUAUUGUUUUACUGGAUACGCACUGCUUAUCAGUGUUUGAUAGUUAUAUGUAAAUUUUGGUCAUUAUGAUUUCUGAAUAAAGCUGUUAAGAAA